AUUACUAAAAUUAUCCAGUAAUCACGAAUGACUGACGAAUGAAAAAUCAUGGAAAAUCAUUGGUCUAAAGGUCUGAUGAGUAUUCCUUCUGCUGCAUCAGUUCAGUCAGGGGGUGGAGAGAUGCAAUCACCUGGGGCCAUUAGUCCCUCCUUCCUCCCGCCCCCAAGUGGAAAAGUUCCAGGUCGCAAGAGGGGUCGCCCACCCCUAAAGAGGCACCCGGAAUAUCAGAGUCGCCUACCCAGAAUCCCUCCCACCCAUUAAAGUGCCUAAGAAGAGAGGGAGGAAGCCUGGCUUUAAGGUCAGUAAAUAUCAGAGUGUUUGUGUGUCUGUUUAAAUACGCACAUGCAUGCGUAGGCCACAAAAAAGAUUAGGCCUUUUCAGCCGUGUCUACCAGAUGCAUAAACGUCAUCAAGUGGUGCAUUUUAGUGCAUAAUGGUGUGUGUGUAACACUUAUGAUGGUUUAGCUAGAGGAACAGAG
rnacentral:lncRNA from 1 species